AGUGGCACUGGCGUUUGCAGAGCGAAAUUACAGCUGACUAACUGCACAGGCAACUGCAUUUCGCGACUGAACACGAAGUCUGGGUUAAGAUUCUUCUGCGCCGACUAAGGGCUGAUACCCUCUUCCCCUGGACACGGGUUCCUGUGACGCUUGAAGCCUUCUGUCUUGCUGAAAGAAGAAGAAACCGGAGAGUGCGGCACGGGUUUCACAGGGGCAUCGAAUGCAGCGAGGAUGCAUGCAGUGAAAUAUGAGCGAAGUGGCUCUGCUAUCUCGUCGUAUAGGCGCGUUUGUAGCUGCGGCGGUAGCAGCAGCAACCCGGAAGCAGCAGUACAGCGCGCGGGCGUGCGCUCUGCCUCCGUGCAGCAGGACGCCGCUCUGAACCUUGACAUUAUCUUUCUCGCCCCG